CUUGUACUCCCUCCGUCCGAAAAUACUUGUCAUUGAAAUGGAUGUAUCUAGAUGUAUUUUAGUUAUAGACACAUCCAUUUUGACGACAAGUAAUUCCGGACGGAGGGAGUACUUG
rfam:Triticum aestivum genome assembly, contig: Triticum_aestivum_CS42_TGACv1_scaffold_378773_5AL